rnacentral:rRNA from 1 species
AUUCGUAACUUAGUGGCGGACGGGUGAGUAACGCGUGGGUAACCUGGCCCAUACAGGGGGAUAACACUUAGAAAUAGGUGCUAAUACCGCAUAACAACAGAAAGCGCAUGCUUUUUGUUUGAAAACCAAGGUGGUAUGGGAUGGACCCGCGUCUGAUUAGCUGGUUGGCGGGGUAAAGGCCCACCAAGGCGACGAUCAGUAGCCGGCCUGAGAGGGUGGACCGGCCACAUUGGGACUGAGACACGGCCCAAACUCCUACGGAAGGCAGCAG